rnacentral:rRNA from 1 species
UACGUAGGGUGCGAGCGUUAAUCGGAAUUACUGGGCGUAAAGUGUGCGCAGGCGGCUUCGCAAGUCGAGUGUGAAAUCCCCCGAGCUUAACUUGGGAAUUGCGCUCGAAACUACGGAGCUGGAGUGUGGCAGAGGAAGGUGGAAUUCCACGUGUAGCGGUGAAAUGCGUAGAGAUGUGGAGGAACACCGAUGGCGAAGGCAGCCUUCUGGGCCAACACUGACGCUCAUGCACGAAAGCGUGGGGAGCAAACAGG